rnacentral:rRNA from 1 species
CGAGGAAUAUUGCACAAUGGGCGCAAGCCUGAUGCAGCAACGCCGCGUGAGGGACGAAGGCCUUCGGGUUGUAAACCUCUUUUCUGAGGGACGAGGAAGGACGGUACCUCAGGAAUAAGUCUCGGCUAACUACGUGCCAGCAGCCGCGGUAAAACGUAGGAGGCGAGCGUUAUCCGGAUUUACUGGGCGUAAAGCGCGCGCAGGUGGCUUCGUGAGUCGGACAUGAAAGCUCCUGGCUUAACAGGGAGAGCCUGUUCGAUACUGCGGGGCUUGAGGUUGGGAGAGGGACGCGGAAUUCCCGGUGUAGUGGUGGAAUGCGUAGAUAUCGGGAGGAACACCAGUGGCGCAAGCGGCGUCCUGGCCCACACCUGACGCUGAGGUGCGAAAGCGUGGGUAGCAAACAG